GGGGGAAGGCAGGAUCCUGGGCGGUGACCCCGGCGCCCUGUGCUCCCGGGCCUGCACUGUUGGAUUCGAGCUCCCGGCCAGGCAGCCCCCU
rnacentral:pre_miRNA from 1 species